GUGCAGCAGUCGCGAAACCUUCGCAAUGCAGGAAACUGCGACGAGGGAACUCCAAGUGCCUACGCUCAGCGUAGGCUGUUCUCAAGCCUAGAAAGCUUGAGGAGUAAGGGCUGGGUAAGACGGGUGCCAUCUGUGGUAGCGAGUCAAUAGAAUUCGAUUUGUUACUGCAAGGCAUAAGCCGCCGCGGUAAUACCCGCAGCCCAAGUGGUGGCCGCUUUUAUUGGGCCUAAAGCGUCCGUAGCCGGCCCGGUAAAUGCCUGGGUAAAUCGUGGAGCCCAACGUUCACGAA
rnacentral:rRNA from 1 species